GGAGACACAGACAGUAUGUUCUGAGUUUCAUUUUUAAAAUGACUGUAUAUAAUUUAUUCUCGUGAUCAGACUAAGGACUGAAAUUUCUCUCCCAACAGAGUUUGUCCGAAUGAUGUCCCGCUGAUCUCCUAGAACGCCCUCCAUAAGAGAAGAUACUAUCUACGCUUCAAACUGUGACCAUUCUACGAAUCUCCAGAUCCUCGACAGACCACUUGAAUCAACUCUCAUUCAUUGACCCAGAUAUGAAGAGGACUCCAUGCUGUUGUAUAAAACCCUAUUCUUAAGAUCUAUCCAUCUUUCCUUUUUCAGAAAUGCUGUUAAUAAAUUAACAAUUUUUAAAUAAAUUU